AAAAAUGUCUUUUGCAAUAUGUUCCGGAUUUUGUCUAGCACGCCAUUCUUCAAAGAGAGCUUUAGGCCUCUCUUUGGUCCAUGGAUCCCCGCGAAAAAGGUCUGGUACCAGAACACUGCCAAAUGUUCACAAAGCAGCAGCAAAAAAUCUUAUCAGCAAAGGAAUCUAAAUGCACUCAGAACAGAACUCACCAUGUCAAGCAAACAUUUCUACGGAGAUGUGUACAAGUACAUUUUUGGCAAUAAAAAGCAAAAAGGCAUGAUUUCCAAAUAGUAUUGUUGAUUACUUGUGUGUUUGUUUUUGCUUAUUUUGAUUUUCUUUUUCUUUUUUCGGGUAAGUAAAAAAUAGUUAAUAGCCCUGGAGGUAGCAACAUAUAAGGCAGGUUCCAAGUUAACAACUCAAAGAAAAACACAAAGGAACACACUAGCCUAAUUCCACCAAUUACCUAUAACAGAGUAUACAUAUAAACAACCAGUAUGUGACUAAUACUGCAGAGAAUUCCAUGUUUUGCUUUCAGGUGUUCAUGAUUUCAUGAUUACCAGACUUUCUGAAGUGUGAUUCAUCUACCUUUAUCAACUGUUUGAUACAAUUAUUCUUUUCCAAAACAUUUUUUUGAGCAACCUGUCAGCUCUUGUAUCUUUGUGUGUUGAGGUUGACUAGAGAGGAGUAUAUUACAGAGAGUGGAAACUGGCAUGGCCACUGGAACACUAGAUUAAGGGGGCUUACCCAGGAUGACUUGUGUCCUUGGGAAGUUUGCGUAUGGCGUAUGAAACUGUCGUACACGUAUUGAAGGUCUGUCACUCAUUGAGUUAGACUGAGGAAAUGCUUACAAGUGAGAUCUUUUUUUGGGUGAAGUUAAAUUGAAGUAGUGUUACUGCAACUUACAGAAGGGAGUACCAUGUUAACUACUACUCCAUGACAAAAUCUAGUUUCAGUCAAGUCACUAAUUAGCAGCAAUGCAUAAGCUCGAAGGGGUAAAUAACUCAGAAAAGCACAAUAUGAUAUGUCAACGUAUGCAACGGGUACUAUAAACAACUGAUACAAUUGGCCUAUAGAUGUAAAGGAUCUGGAGCCGUCCAUGAAUACUUCCAAGUUCACGCAUCAAGUAAACCAAUAAUCCAAUUCCAAGCACAACCAAUAAACCAUUGUCAUUUAAACUUAUUAUACAUCACUGAAGUAAGAGAACAACGUACCUUUAUAUGGAUAUUUUUACUGAAUGGCCAGAUUAUAUGCUACAACUGUUAGUAUAGGUAUACAUUUUGCAGCUAAAAUAGUCUGUUUAUAUUCAGCUCAGAUUGUUUAUAGUAAUUACCAAUAUUCAAGAGUGGAAAAGUAUAGCCUUGAGCUUAUUUUAUUUAACGUUAAAAACUUGAAAUUCUAGAGAAACUGAAGAAGCUUCAGUUCCUCAGAUGAUUAUAGCUGUCUUAACACUGAUGCGAAAAAAACAAGCAGAGGUAGCUUUAUAAGAAGUGCCUAUUGUCAAAUGUUCUUGCAGAAUCCACAGAAAUUUGCUCUUGUGCAGGGAGUGGAAGUAUAGUAAUACAGUCUUGUCCUCAACUUCACAUAAGCUUAUUAUUUGUGAGAGGAGUGAAAAUUACCGAAAGUUCAUACAACUUACUUGUAACCAUUGCAAGCAACAAGGUACGCAAAAUCUCUUGUGGCUGAAUCUUCAAAACCAAAUACGUCAGACAAGAGCAAAAUGCCAGUUCCAUUAUUAUUCUUCACUGCCGUGCACAGAUAAGCAUUAAUCGCAUCAUCUCCCUCUCCAAUCGAGAGCUCCACCCCAUUCACAAGUUCACAUGUCUCAUCUUCUGUGAUAUCUUCCACUUUGAAUUGACUGGCACAUAUUCUACUGUUCUUGUUCGUUCUAGAAAGCCAGAAGGACCUCGAACAAUUUAUACUGCUCCUCUGGACGAUAACUGAAACUUCAUAGUCAGAAUUUGCCUCUUCAUUGAUCUUAUGCAAAGGUCCAGCAUAAUCACAGAGACAGAUGCCAAUUACAAUUGCAAACAAAAAUGCUUUUGUCAAUUGAUACAGCAAAAUGAUGUUUACUAGUACUCUUGUGACACCCUGGCAUGACUAAGAGUUCGAGAGGAAAAAGCAAAACUAGAGAUAUGCAUAGGUAGUUUACCAAACAAAGUGUAAAAGCAUAUGAAAGUUCACUUCAUCUGGAGAGAAUUUGAUAUAAAACUAUUGACAGUUUCUAGGUUCUAGUUAAAUUGUGGGUAAUUAAGCAAAUGAGAAUCAGCUUGUUAUUCCAUAUAACCGUUCUUAUUUUAUGGGUACCCAAAAUCAAUUUUACUUAUUUUUCUCAUCAAUUUAGUAGCCAACUGGCUCAAUCUAUCCUGUGAUAGACCAACUUUGUCGUUAGUCUCUGGCAACAUUAUGUGUAUCUAAAGCACAGUCAGUAUCCCGGAUAAGAACCAGAACAGGACAACGUCUUGGACCAAAACUGAAAUGCUUCGAUCUAACCUUAUUAACAUUACACAGACAUCUGAUCCAAUUCCAGCUCAUUCUUCAGGUUUCUCACUAUUUGGGGUUCAUAAUUCUGGUUCACCUGUUAUAUUUAUACUUUUUAAGUUUGCUUAUAGCUUGAUCAUUCGCAGCUAAACAACAAAUGUAGGCCACCCUUAACUUGAUAGUUCUAAGAAUAGUAAAGACAUGGCUGCUUGAAGUUGGAUAAUAGAGUGCUCCAAACUCUAAUAAACAGAAACUAAGUUAAAAAGACUGAAAGAAGAUCAGAUUUAGUUAGCUAACACAUGAGGGAUUGCCUUGUAGUGAUCUUAGUCGUUUAGCUGGGAAAUUCUCUUAAAUUAAGUACUAUCAAGCUCUUAGAUCAGUAACUUCUCCUUAGAAGUUAAAAACAAUGACCCAAAGCAGUUAGAAACUGGUAUUUGCAAAAUCAAGGCCAUUAAACUCAAAGAAACAAAAAUGUACAGGAAAGUGGAGCUCAUGUGAUGCAAAUGCUGGAACAGGCAGGCAUGACUGUUUGAACAAGAAGUUGCUGCUGCAAAGAGUUGUUGGAAGAGCCCAUGACAAGGGGAUUGAACCCGACCACCCCAUUAUCUUUCUCACUUUGUAGUCCACUGCUGGCCCUGACAACAAAAAACUGGCAAACCAAGUAUCCUAAUCUGUGCUGUGAGUGCAUGAAAAUAUCUCGUUUUGGAAGAUAUGGUCGCGGACUCCUAUGGUGCAAAAUUAAUCGAGUUUUGGCCCCAGUCAGCAGCCGGGCUUGAGGUUGUUAAGUGUUAACCCACAGAUUAUCUUCUUUUUUUUGUGGUUUCCCGGAAAAUAGCUAGAUAUCUCAAUAUUGUCACUUUUUGGUGCCAGGUCUCAUUACCGGGAAAUGGAAACAAUGAAUUCCAAUCUUGUCCUCUCUGCUUGAAGUUCCAGGUUUCAUAACCGGGAAAUGGAAACAAAGAAUUAAAGAUUUCAAGAGCAUAAAAUUAUACGAACUUUAAAUGUAUUUUGGAAGAAAAGAGUUCAAGUUCCUAACUUGGAAUUCUUGAAAAAUUACUGUUGAAGAGAAAUUGACUGAAAACUACUUCAGUUGAUCUAAAACUAAUUUUUGGUUUCUGAUUGAGGCAAUAAAUACAUCUGAAUACUCUGCUCUUUUUCUCAAUCUCAAUCCAACCGAAAACACUUGCUCUUCUUCCUGCUGCUGGCUGUCUUGAUGGUUCAGGCCUAUAAAGCUAGGGGAAGCAUAUUAUCAUUAUAAGCACAAACUGCAGAUGCAAACAUUACAAACUUCGUGGCAAAGUCAUUGAUGCCUUUAACUCAGCCUUAACCUCAAAGUAAUACUGAUAUCUUCCACAGCUGUACCAUAUAUCUAGAGUAUUAAGAUAAUUAUAGCAAGCAACAAUCAUGCUUCAUUCAAGGUUUCGAGUCUCCAUACGAAGAGACUAUAAACAAUGGAGAGUGGUUUGCUGGUUAGACUCUUUUACCUGGGAAAACAUGGACAGAUUAAGCUUACAACAAAGAUGUUGGACAGGCUUACACCUCAACAAUUCCAUCCAACCAUUUUCUCAACGCUAAGAUAAACAUUUUCUGGGGUUUUGAAGUUAACAUAUUUUGAGGCCGAAAUGGCUCUUUCUGGAGACAGCCCACAUGAGUUAAUCUAGUCAAGGAAACUACCAUUGACUGCUUUUCUGAAGCUCUUAUGAUGGAAGAUGAUGAAAAUGGCAGGUCGGUUUGAAGAAAAUGCAGUUCUUGUUUAUGGGCUCGUAUUAAAAUUGAAAUGGCGUCAAUUGAGCAAUUUCUUGCAUAAGCCAAUGUUCUACAAUUGCAUACAAAAUUAAACAUAUUUGAGAAAAUAUCAGCAACAUGAAAAUGAUUUUAGAAGGUUCACCUCAAGAAACAUACAUGUCUGAGAAGUAUUCAUCAAUCCCAAUGCAGCAUAGAACCUUCGUUCAAAUUCUCAAUUCAUAAACCCUAAGCCAACAAGUAGAAACCCUGCUGCUGCUUUGACAUGUAUAACUUUCCCCAGUUCCUGCAGUAGGGGGGUGGCGGGCGUGCCUGGGUCGGUUCGUGACAGAGAAUUCCAACCUGGGUAGCGAACCUUCAGUUGCAGUUCUAAUUCCGGUUUGGUUAGAACCGUAACCCAUAAGAAAAGUCAUGGGGCAAAUGCUAAUUACUAUUCCCUCCAUCUCAUUGAAAGUGUCAUACUUUCCUUUUUUAUUUGUCCCAAAAUAUAUGUCAUGUACCCAAAAUGGAAAACAAAAUUUCUCUUGUUUCAAUUUUUACCCUUCAAGAUUUCCUCAUUCUUUACUUUUAUUAGUGGAUCCCUUGAUUUUCAUUUGCUGCAAACAAAAGUUGCAAGACAUGAGAUACACACAAGGUUUGAAGUGAUGUGUGAAUAUCACUCUCGUUGACAGAUUGGACUUCUUGUAGGUAGCUUUGGGCCCACAUGUCAUUCAUGUCUUCUUGACCACUAAUAACCACACAUUCUUGUUUCUAACAGUGAUUUUGAAGUGGCAAAAUCGAAAAACAAAACUGAAACUUAGUACUGUACAUAAAAAAUUCAACUCCCAAAGCACGACAAAGUUUUUGGGACGGAGGGAGUAUUUUUUUCCCUAUUACAUUCAUUUACUUACAUAAUUCAUUGAAUACCUUCAAAUUUUCAAUAUUAGUUUUUUUCUUUCACAAAUGUUAGAGAAAACACACACACACCACUCACUCAAACGACGCAGAAGGCAUCGAACUGGUCCAAAGGAUAAUCUAAGGGGGACUCGCAGAGAAACCCCAUCCAGCCAAUUGGUGACAGGAAGGGCUCCCCAUGGACCUUAAAUCCAGAGUAACUACUGCAUGAUCUUUCGAUGUGGGAUAGUGCACCCAACCCCCUCUCACGCAAUCCUCGCCAGAAGUCUGGUUUUUUUUCAAAUUUUCAAUAUUAGUUGUAAUAUUCUUUUAUCGAAAUUGUGAGGUACUAUUUGGUAGAAUUUGUAUCAUCUUUCUUUUCCUUGUUUGGUAAAUAAUCACGUGAAAAUUUUAUUUUUCUCUAAUUUUAUUUUCUCCAACUUCUUCUUAUCUAAUUUUGUGGUUACGAGUGAAUAAGUCCAGGUCGGACUAAAUUAGACACUCGUAACAGCAGAGAUAAGAAGAAACUAAAAAAAAACAAAAUUCGAGGAAAAUAAAGUGUUCAUGUGAUUAUUUAACAAACAAGGAAAAGAAAGUUGAUACAAAUUCUAUUAAAAGAAUAUUACAACUGGGGUGGCAACGGAUUAUGUCGUAUUGUUAUUGUGUUCAAGUCAAAAAGUGUCACCUCUAACUCAAUCUACUAGAUUUUGAAGUCGUGUCCUACUUAUUAAUAGGUUGACACGAUCCAACUUGCUUAACCCGUUGAUAGGGGCGUAAAAUGUAGUGCAUUUAUAUGCAUAAGUUGUUAGUUAAUUAUGUUAUUUGAACUUUAUCUUGAGUAGAAACUAGUUAAUUUUGUUCUUAUUGUUGGAAACUUUUCAAAAUUUGUAUGAUGUACAUACAUGUAAUUAAUGUAUAUUCAUUAAUUUUUGAUACAUGUAUAGUAUUGUGAAUGUUUCUAAAAUGUACAUUCAUUUAUGAAUGUAUUCAUGUAUAUGGGAAUUAUUGAAUGAAAGGAUAGAUUCAUGUUUUGAUCUAAUGAUCAUGAGAUGCAUGAAUUAAAAUGCAUGAAUGUGUACACAAUACUUUGAAUCUAUUCAUACACAAUACUUUGAAUCUAUUCAUACAAGUGUUUAAUGAGGUCUUUUGUUUCCCAAACAAUCUUCCUAUAUAAAGAGGUCAAGUAGAGAGUGGUUUGCUGCAGAAAAUCACUUUCCUACUAUCCUUACUCUCUCAAAAGCACUCCUUAGUUCAUAAAGGGUUUGUCUUACUUUGUGCAAAAGUUUAAGACAAACAAAACUUCAUCUUAUUCUAAAGGAUCAAUUUAGUGAGAUUGAAAGGCUUCUUAAUCACUUCACACAACACAAUCUACACAUGGAUGAAGCCAUUAUUGUUUGCUCUAUAAUAGAUAAGUUACCACCUUCUUGGAAAGAUUUCAAAAGAGACCUCAAACAUAAGAAAGAGGAUAUCUCUCUUGAGAUUCUUGCUAAAUCUCUUCGAGUAGAAGAGGAAAUUCGCAUGCAAGAAAAGAAAGAUAGUCAAAUCCUUGAAGAGAACAAAGAUUCUACUUCAAAAGUGCAUGUGAUUGAAGAGAGGCAAACUGAAAAGUCUCAAGGAAGCAAGAAGGGCCAACAACCCAAAAAUCAAUCCAAGAAAAGAAAGAAGGGACAAUGCUUCUAUUGCAAGAAAGAGGGACACUACAAGUCCGAGUGCAAGAUUUUUCAAAACAAGAAGAAGAAGUAAGAGUUUUCCCAAAACACAAGCAAAAAUCUUGUAGCUAUGAUAUCUGAAAUCAAUAUGAUUGAAGAUGAUUUUGCUUGGUGGGUUGAUUCUGGAGCUACGCGACACGUGUGCAAUAAUAGAACGUUUUUCAAGUCCAUAAAACCGGUGGAUGAAACCACCGUUGUUUACAUGGGAAAUUCUGCUACAAUUCCGGUUCAAGGCAUUGGAGAAGUAGAAUUAAAAUUUACUUCCGGAAAUGUUGUAACCUUGACAAAUGUGUUUUAUGUACCGGAAGUUAGGAAGAACUUGGUGUCGGCUGGGCUGUUAAAUAAAUUUGGCUUUAGACUUGUGUUUGAGUCUGACAAAUUUAUUUUGUCUAAAGGUGGUAUGUUUGUAGGCAAGGGUUAUCUUUGCAAUGGGAUGUUUAAGUUGAAUGUACUUGCUAUUAGAAAUAAUAAGAGUGAUAUUAUUUCUGCAUAUUUGGUUGAGUCUUCUUUUGAAUUGUGGCAUAAUAGGAUUGGUCAUGUUAAUUACAAAAGAAUGCAUGAAAUGAUGAGACUUGAUUUGCUGCCAUAUUAUGAUAAGAUUGAAGGAAAAUGCAAUACAUGCAUGCUAACGAAAAUCACAAGAAAUUCGUUUCCUAAAGUUGAAAGAUCAUCUAAAAUCUUGGAUCUUAUUCAUAUUGAUGUAUGUGAUUUGCAUGGUACUCCUACUUUGGGUGGUAAAAAAUAUUUUGUGACUUUUAUUGAUGAUUAUAGUAGAUACUGUCAUGUUUUCUUAUUACACUCAAAAGGUGAAGCUUUGCAAAAAUUUAAGGCAUACAAAUCAGAAGUUGAACUUCAUUGUGAAUCCUUUAUCAAAUGUCUAAGGACAGAUAGAGGUGGGGAAUAUUAUGAUAUUACCUAUUUUGAGUCUGUUGGGAUAAAAUAUGAGGUGACUGCUCCUUACACACCACAACAAAAUGGUGUAGCCGAAAGGAAAAAUCGUGUAUUGACAGAAAUGGUUAAUGCACUUUUGUCAAAAUCUGGUUUAAGUCAAGGAUUUUGGGGUGAAGCCUUGUUAACGGAGUUCCUAAUAAAAGGAGUUCUAUAACCCCUUAUGAAUUUUGGAAUAAAAGAAAGCCCAACCUAAAUUAUUUGAAAGUUUGGGGUUAUAGAGCUGUUGUAAAACUCCCAGAAUCUCAAAAAAGGAAAUUGAGAGAAAGAGGUGUGGAGUGUAUAUUCUUAGAAUAUGCACAAAAUAGCAAAGCAUAUAGGUUCAUGGUAAUUGAACCUAAUGAUUCAAUUUCGGUUAAUACCAUAAUUGAGUCUAGAGAUGCUAUUUUUGAAGAGAAUAGGUUCACCUCUAUAAAAGAUGUUAUUCCAAAAUCAAGUGAAUUGAUAAAAGAUGGUGAAAAUGAAACCAUUGAAUUGAGAAGGAGCAAAAGAGCUAGAAAAUCAAAAGACUUCGGUUCGGACUUUUAUAUGUAUCUAGUUGAAGGAACUAGAGAUACAGUGAGCAACCAAAUCUCAUAUUGCUUCAAUAUUGAGGCUGAUCCCAAGACCUAUGAAGAAGCAAUGAACUCACAAGAUGCUCCCUUUUGGAAGGAAGUUAUUAAUGAUGAGAUGGACACAAUCAUGGGUAAUAAAACCUGGAAAUUAGUAGACUUACCACCUGGUUCAAAACCAAUUGGUUGUAAGUGGAUCUUCAAGAAGAAAAUGAAGAUCGACGGAACUAUUGAUAAGUUUAAGGCCAGGUUGGUUGCCAAAGGGUUCACACAAAAGUAUGGUGUGGACUAUUUUGACACAUAUUCACCAGCAGCUAGAAUUGCUACAAUUAGAGUGCUACUUGCUAUAGCUUCUAUCCAAAAUCUAGUCGUUCACCAAAUGGAUGUUAAAACAGCAUUCUUGAAUGGUGAUUUGGAUGAAAAAAUAUAUAUGGAGCAACACGAAGGGUUUGUGAUACCUGGUCAAGAGCAUAAGGUGUGUAAACUUGUAAAGUCUUUAUAUGGACUAAAACAAGCACCGAAGCAAUGGCAUCAGAAAUUUGACCAAGUUAUUCUUGCUAGUGGGUUCAAAAUAAAUGAAUCUGAUAAAUGUAUUUAUAGCAAGUUUGAUGAUGGCAAAGGUGUCAUAAUUUGUUUAUAUGUUGAUGACAUGUUGAUUUUUGGGACUGACUUGGAACAAGUUGAAGUCACAAAAACUUUGCUUUCAAGCAAAUUUGACAUGAAAGACAUGGGUGAGGCAGAUGUCAUUCUUGGUAUGAGAAUCUUCAAACAUGAUAACAAUAUAAUGUUGUCUCAAACACAUUAUAUUGAAAAGAUUCUUAACAAAUUCAAUCAAAGUGAUUGUAUUCCAGUCUCAACACCAUUGGAUCCCAAAAUAAAUUUUGUGAAAAAUGAGGGGGAUCCAAAAUCUCAAAUGGAAUAUGCCAAGGUUAUAGGGUGUUUAAUGUAUGCAAUGACUUGUACUAGACCUGAUAUUGCAUAUGCAGUUGGUAUAUUGAGCAGAUAUACAAGCAAUCCUGGUAGGUUACAUUGGCAAGGUGUAACCAGAAUUUUAAAGUAUUUAAAGGCCACUAAGGACUAUGGUAUAUGUUAUACCGGUUAUCCUUCAGUUUUAGAAGGAUUUUCAGAUGCUAGUUGGAUCACCAAUAAAGAUGAUCACUCGUCAACAAGUGGUUGGAUCUUUAUGCUUGGUGGUGGUGCAAUUUCUUGGGGUUCUAAGAAACAGACUUGUAUCACCGAUUCAACAAUGGCAGCAGAGUUUGUAGCACUUGCUUCGGCCUGUAAAGAAGCUGAAUGGCUACGUAAUUUGCUUUGUGAUAUACCAUUAUAGCCAACACCUUUGUCGCCUAUCUCAAUCCAUUGUGAUAGUGCAGCUACACUUGCUAAAGCAUAUAGUCAAGUGUAUAAUGGUAAAUCAAGACAUAUCGGUUUGAGACAUAAUUAUGUCAAAGAUUUGAUUACAAAUGGAGUCAUAUCAAUUGACUUUGUGAGAUCAAAUGAAAAUUUAAGUGAUCCUUUGACAAAAGGAUUAUCAAGAAAUUUGGUGUCAAAGACAUCAAGGGGGAUGGGUUUAAAGUCCAAAAUUCUUGAUCACUAAUAGUGGAACCUCAAUUCAAUGCUAGAUACAACGUCUGGUCCUGAAUUCAAUGAGUGAAAGUACAUCAUUCUAGUGGUUGGUGCACUAUAUUAAGUUUAGUCAUCCCAAUGUUGAAUAGUGCAUGUUAUUCUCGCCAGUGCAAAUGUAAGGAUGAGUCAUUGGACUCUUAACGAAUCUUAAAAGUGCUAUCUAUGGCGGGGGCACUAAGAUGUCGCCUAUAUGAAUGUUGGUUUUCGGCAAACCACAAAGUUAAGGACUUUACUUUGUAAACAUUCAUGAAAGGAUAGUGAUACAAGGCCGUAAAAUGUAUCGUUGAAGAACUUAUGGUUGUGCAUUGCUCAGUGUGUGAUGUGUUUAUGAGGUUGGUCCAAUGUCCAAGUGGUUCAAAGCUUGUCUACCAUCUUGAAGGAUUGAUUUCAAAGAACCUUCACUAAAAUAGUGGUUCAAUCGAAAGACACCAUUAUUUAUGCAUAUGAGUGUCAGAUUACUUGGUGACCUUUUAGAAAUCCAUUUUCUAAUUUUGAAAAUGGCGGGGGAUUGUUGGAAACUUUUCAAAAUUUGUAUGAUGUACAUACAUGUAAUUAAUGUAUAUUCAUUAAUUUUUGGUACAUGUAUAGUAUUGUGAAUGUUUCUAAAAUGUACAUUCAUUUAUGAAUGUAUUCAUGUAUAUGGGAAUUAUUGAAUGAAAGGAUAGAUUCAUGUUUUGAUCUAAUGAUCAUGAGAUGCAUGAAUUAAAAUGCAUGAAUGUGUACACAAUACUUUGAAUCUAUUCAUACACAAUACUUUGAAUCUAUUCAUACAAGUGUUUAAUGAGGUCUUUUGUUUCCCAAACAAUCUUCCUAUAUAAAGAGGUCAAGUAGAGAGUGGUUUGCUGCAGAAAAUCACUUUCCUACUAUCCUUACUCUCUCAAAAGCACUCCUUAGUUCAUAAAGGGUUUGUCUUACUUUGUGCAAAAGUUUAAGACAAACAAAACUUCAUCUUAUCCUAAAGGAUAUUUGUCCAAGGUUAUUGCACGUUAUACCGGACAAAUAAAGCCUAAAGGAAAGUGAUAUCUAUCACGAUUUGAACCCAAUUCUUGUUACUACAUUUGCUAGUCAUUUACAAUUUACCCAACACUUAUAUGGUUCUAAUAGGUGAAUAGUUCAAUUGGAGAGAAAAUAAAUAAAAAAUGUGAUGCAAAGAAGUAAUGGAAGAAGAAGAAUUUAAGAGAAAGAGAUUUGACAGAAUUGACAUAUUUCAGUAUUUUGGUGAUAAGUUGAGUUACUAAAAUCAUAUCGAGAUGAUUCUUGAUUUAUUUUAAAUUUGAGAGAAUUAUCUGCAAUUCUUAUGAGACAUUAGAAUCCACUUCUCAUGUUUUCAUAGUAAAAAAUCCAAAUAAUUGAAGCAUAUUUGCAGUGCAAUGUACUUUUGACCAGUUCUAGUAUUUUAGGUAUAUCUCAGUGUCCCGACUCCAAAUGACGUGAUUUUUUUGGCAUUGAAAAAUUAAUUCAAAGGAUUACAACUUUUAUGUUUUGUACAAGAGUUGAUUUGACCUUGUUGAUGAAGUUUUUGGGCUUCAAAUAUGAUCCACACGCGGAUCCAUGCCCGGUGCUGAUCAUCAAUUUGGACUUCACGUCGGACUUCUUCAGAUUCUUUUAUAUUUUGAGCUUGGCCCAACGACCGGUACUAGACAUUGGGACGACACUACAUAUUUCAGUAAUUUGGUGAUAAGUUGAGUUACCAAAAUCGAAUUGAGGUGAUUCUUAAUUUAUUUUGAAGUUAAGAUAAUUAUCUACAAUUCUUAUGGGACAUUAGAGCCCAUUUCUCAUGUUUUCAUAGUAAAAAAUCCAAAUUACUGAAGUAUAUUUAUGCUGCGAUGUUCUUCCAACUAGUUAUCAGUAUUUUAGGUGUAUCUCAGCGUCUAUACCUCUAAAUGACUUGAUUCUUAUGGCAUUAGAAAGUUAAUUCAAAGGGUUCACUUCCAUGUUUUGUGCAAAAGUUGAUUCGAUCUUAUUGAUGGAGUUUUUGGGCUUCAAAUAUGAUCCAAAUGUGGAUGCUUGAAGAUCCGCAAGCGGAUCCAUGACCAGCGCCGAUCAUCAUUUUGGAUUUCACGUCGGACUUCUUUAGUUCUUUUGUAUUUUGAGUUUGGCCCAAUGACCGGUGCCAGACAUUGUCAGGACAUUGGGCCAACACUAUAUGUUUUAAUAUUUUGGUGAUAAGUUGAGCUAUCAAAAUCGAAUUGAGAUGAUUCUUGAUUUAUUUUAAAAUUAAGAGAAUUAUCUACAAUUCUUAUGAGAUAAUAGAGUCUACUUCUCAUGUUUUCAUAAUCAAAAAUUCAAAUUACAGAAGUAUAUUUGUGUUGCAAUGUUUUUCCAACCAGUUCUCAAAAUUUUAGGUGUAUCUCAAUGUCCAGACCUCCAAAUGACUUGAUUCUUGGGCAUUGGAAAGUUAAUUUAAAGGAUUACAACUUUCAUGUUUUAUACAAGAACUGAUUUGUCGUUAUUGAUGGAUGUUUUGGGCUUCAAAUAUGAUCUAUACACAUUUCCUUGGAGAUCUGCGAGCAGAUCCAUGAUGAGCACCGAUCAUAAAUUUGGACUUCACGUCGGAUUUCUUUGGAUUCAUUUGUAUUUUGAACUUGGCCCAACGACCGGUGUCGGAUAUUAGGCUGGUCAUUGGGUUGGACAUUAUCAAAAAAAUGUGCGAAAACAUAAUUUUUCAACUCGAAUAAAACCUAUUCCUACCUUGUUUAGUAUACAUCUUCGAGAAACUAUAUCUUCAUGAAUCCGAUUAAUUUAGCAACCAAGUACCCAUCCCCUUCCCCAUUUUUUAUUUCCGACAACUCUCGCUCUCAAAAUAAAAAAUGUAAUUUAAAAAAAUAAAGCAACUUGGAUCGCUAACUAAAGGUGUUGAACAUAUCCAUUUGAAAAUAAUGCAUUUCAAACUACCAUUGAUUGAAAAACUUCAUGUGUAAUCGUGUGCUUUGGAGGCUUGAGCGGCUGACACGAACAUGCGAGUGAUCAUGCAUAGCUUGAGACUUGACAGAAAAAGGAGAUGGAAGAGUUCUUUACUACAAAAGGCAUCGUUCCAUGAUACAGACGUUUAGAAAUGAUCGAUAACAGCUUGAUCCAUAUUUUCUUUGAAGUCAAAAUGUCCUGAUCGAAAAUUGCCAAUGAGACUCGAGAUAAGCAUUAAACAUGAAAGCUUUAUAUUCGACAGAGAAGAUAAGGAUCCUGCACUUUGGCAGAAAUUUUUUUUUUUUUAAGCUCACUUUGGCAGAAUCUAAUUCUUCCGAAUUGUGGAACUUUGGCAGAAUUAGAUUCUCUCUAGUGAGGAACCUCACGACAUGACAAGUUUAGUAACUGAUAUUACAAACUGAGAUUACCAAUUGGCAUUACUUCCAUCAUCCGAGUAAAAAGGGCAAGAGAAUGACACCUUUGCUAGCCAACUGAUAUUAAGUCAAAGUCAUGAAAAAUGUUUAUGGAACUUAUGUACUAUCUAGAUAAUGUUCUAUUAAAAACCAGGAGGAGAAUGCACGCACAUCGCGGGGAUGUUUGACGCGUGCAUUAAAGAGGAUUUUUUAGAUGUCUGUGGUGAGCAAGCAAAGGAAGAUAAAAAUAAGAUAGCAAUACAGAUUAAGUAAUAUUAAGGAAAUAUAGCUUCCGCUAAAAACUAUUAUGAAAUGCUGAUUGUAAAGGCUAAAAAAAUAAUGCAAUCCUGGAAUCCAAAAGGGAGAAAACCGAAGAAUGUGAAAGAGGAAGAAUUGAAAGAGCCAUAACUGAUACUCAGACAAUAACUCAGCAUCAUACCCAUUGGAAUGUAAAUAAUGUUUUAUUACUGGUAGAGAAGCUGUUUCAAACAGCUGAACUUCAGACAAAGCAGGUGUUGACAUAAUUAUGAGUGUUUCAGACAAUUAAAAUGGAGUUAUACUGCAAUUACUAAGGUUAUCAACAACGUGACUCUAUUUUAAUUACAUAAUAACCCCAUUUUAGUAAUUGCACAAAAACACAUGCUUAUAUAAAUUGGACCAAAUGCACAAAUGAUCGCCAAAUAAGCCCAUAUUCCACAAAUACCCAGAUGUGGCUAUAAAUGCAAGCUUUAAAUGUACAAACAUUGGGAUUUUAAUGUAAAAAUUUCCAAACACAUGUUGCAAUCAGUUGUACCAAAAGUUUAGAAAAAGUAACAUAUUUUUCAAAUUCCCAAAAUACCUCUGCCCAUGCGGUUGAAAUUCAACUCCCUCUUUAACCAAAACUCAAUCUUAUAUGGUGUAAGGAUGUUUUACAUUCCAAUCAAACUAAAUUUUGUUAUUAGGGCCAAUAGUUCAUUACUUUACGUUAAUUUUGUUGGCAACGGAAAUUAACAGGUAGAAUGGCCAUAUUCAUAUCACUUCACCGUGACCAUGGAACUUUUUAAACAUAUCGCAUGAUUUCCAAGUAGGCCUGUUUGACCCGGACUACCCCUAAGUAUAGUUUAUGGUUAAGUUUGAUAGAAUGGAUAACAACUGCUUAAUUAUUGCAUUUAUUCUUUGUAGAGAGUAAGAUCUGCCUCUCAAGUGGAUAAUUAAUCCAUUAUUUUACCCACGCAUUAGCUCAAGAUUCAUCCAAUGUUUCGUCCAUUUCAACGUCUAUUUCCUCCUCUAUCAUGAUAGUAGCAUUAUCUCUCUUUUUUUUCAAAAAAAAAAAAAAAAGAAAAGAAAGAGAAGAACAUGGUGCUUGAUGCCGUUCCUGAUGCACAAUGACUUUUCAAUCAAAUACAUAUUAAUCAUUAGAUUCCCACCAUCCCACAAAGGGCAUAUAGGGCAUUUAAGUGCAAAAAAGAGUGCCUAUAAAUACAAGAAGCCUAUUUUGUUAUUUCAUGUGCUAACUCAGAGCUACCAAGCUUCGACAAUCGCAAACAAUUACAAAAAUCUAUUGCCAGUCUUGCUCGCGUCCUAGCUCCUUAAGGAAAAAAAUGGCUGCUGUCGUUGCCAACUACAACAUCAACAUUUCAGAAAUCACAGCCAACAGUAAUAUUCUAUGCAUAUUCUUUAAAAAUUCACGCAUUAGAUUUAUAGUUCGCUUGCAUUGCAUGUUUAAAUCCUUUUUAAAUAAAAGAGUGGUUUUUAUGCUGUUUGGAUUAAGACGGGCUUUGUUCCUUGAUGGAAAUUAGUGAAAGCGGAGGGAGUCCAGUCCCCUGAGAUGGAAGCUAUAUUGAAGGCAACUGCAGAGGAUGCGAUAUGGAAUACAAUUGAGCGAUUUAAGGGCAUGGACAUGAGCAAUAAGAAAAAAAUGAUUGUAUGCCUUGCUAGACCCUUUUUGUUUUUGAGUUUUGAGUGUGGUUUUUUGACUGGUUUUGGGAAUCAUAUUGCUAAAUCACACCAAAUAAUUGCCCCCAAAUUUAUUCAUAGAUUUUAGGCCUCUAUUAGUUUUUUUUUUUUUUGAAUGCUUACAAUUGAAUUCGCACAUGCAUUUCAGUUUUUAAUUGAUUCGUUAGCAGCAGGCAAUUUGUUUUCCAAUGCUGAUUCUGCAAGUUCUUAAUUUUCAUACAUUUGAGUACUGAAAAAGUGCCACGUAAACUUUGCAUUCUGCAUUGACUAGUUUUGACAAAUCAAAAAAAAAAAAAAUUUUUCAUAAACAGUAGCUAUAGUGUGAAAUUCUUUAUUUGAAUACAAAAGAGAAUGCAGAAUGAAUUUUGAGGCCAUAAUAGGACGUUUAAAUAACUUACAAAAAGCUUGUGUGGAAACUUUUGAAAAAGUAUAAGGAGUUGCAAUUGAAAGUAGUUUAGUUUGUACAUUCUUAAAUUGCUUAUGCAAUUUAUUACUAUUAUUUUAUUAUAUUUUCUUAAAUUGUAAUGUAGUUUCAUAUUAAUUGAUUGAAUUUAUAAGGAGUCUUUUUGUGCGUGUUUUUUUAAUCUAAAAAAGAAAUGUUUGGGGUUUACACCUUACAGAACAACAGGAUGGGCAGUGGGGGUCGAGCUCAACUCGGCAUUCCUCUUCCUGAGCCAGUGAACCCAACUGACCCUCACGUGAUCGCGAUCGCAAAAUUUGCAGUGGAAAAGCACAACGAGAAUGCCGGGACAAGCCUGGUUUUCAUCCAAGUGAUUGGCGGCCUGCAGUGGAACCUUCUUAUUGGCGCUCUCUAUAUGCUUAUCAUUACAACUCAGGAUUCUAAGGGCACAUAUUACGAUAAAACAGUGGUUUUUGAGACCUGUUUGGGUCAGAAGUACCUCCUCUGGUAUAAGCAUUAAUCAAGCAUUACUGCCCCGAUCAAUUGAGUACUUUUAAUUAUGUGGUGUCUAUGGUUCCCACGGCUGCAUUUUAUAUUCAGUAAAUAAAAGCAGCUGUUUGUGUUUGAGUUUGUAUACAUGUGAGUAUUUUGUUUCUCUAUUAAUUGCAUGCAGGUUUCAAUCUCUGUGUUUUGUAUGUCGACUACGUACUACGUUCGUUCGUGAUUAGUUUUAAAGUGAAUCCAAAUAUACUACUGAGUUGGAGAUGAGAGAACUUCUACUUCCUUCCUGGAGCCACCCAUUUUGUAAUCAUCCUAUCACGUGCUAAUUGAGUAGGGAUGACAAUCGCGAUUUAUGAAUUGGGUUUUGGCAAGCCCAAAUUUGACUUAAAAAAUAAAUGGGGCUUUUGGACUUUCAGCUUCGGGCCUAGAUUUGAAGGCUCAACCUCGGCGCCUCAUUUAAUCUGAGCUCAUAUCAGGCAUGAUCUAAACUCAUAAUUAACUAUAUAAUUAUAUAUAAUAUAUUAAUAUUUAAAAAUAAUUAUAAAUUUUGUAUAUAAAUGAUUAAUAUUUUAAUGUUAUAAUAUGUAUAAUUAUAUAUGUACAAAUCAUUAAAUAUGCAAUUAUAUAUAUAUAUUGUAUAAUUAUAUAUAUGAAUGGGUUGGAUCUUAAGCAUUAGACUCAAACUCGAUUCAUAUUUAAUUUGAACAUAUUGUUGAGGCCCAAACUCUACCCGACCUUAUUAAACAUAAGGCUCAUUAGGAUUUUUUAGGGUUGAACAGGCCGGACUCGGGCUAAACCGGCCCAAUUGAUUGCCCUAUAAUUAAGUUUGGAAUUGAUAUGCUUGAGCAAACAAUGGUCCAUUAUCUUUAAGAUGUGACAACAGAAUUGAUAGCUCUACACACCAUUGGAUUAUAAUACUUAUUUCCUUUUUUUUUUAUUUGAUUUUCGAUGGAGUAGAGAUUAUGAGAUUCAACCCAAAUCGUUCAAGCAAUCAAAAAGAAAACAAAAUGCCAUGGUCAAUAUUAAGGAAAAGUAUAUAUUGGAAUUCAUUCACCUUUGUGAAUAGCGACUAAAAACUCUUGAAGUCAAGCACAUAUGCAACUGAUUUAUAUAUGUUGGCGAUACUGGCAAUAAUGGUCCUAUGAAUUCAAUUAUAUACACAGACAAAUUGAUUGCUUAAUAAAGAAGGUAGAAAUGUAAUAUUGGUCCUCAAUGUUUAGUUCUUGUACAAAAUUAGUUUCUAAUAUUUUGAUCACAACAAAAUUAGACAGAAGGUGAAAGUGUAAGAGAUAGUUUGAAGCAGCCAAAUGAGGAUAUAUAAUGGACAUCCCAAGUUUAUAGAAACCGGUAAUCAAUGAAGAUUUGAAGAUGAAUGUCAGCUAGCUCGUACGUUUGUAGUUGCUCUAUCUAAAUCUUUUUUUUUUUUUUUUUUGUCGAUACGAUAGAAUUUCUAUAACCUAAACUAGCCUAUUCUAAGGGGAAGGGGAGGGGACUCGAUGUGAGUAGAAACUCCAUCGAAACUGAUCAAUGAAAACCGUCACAUAUUGUGAAACUAGCUCUAUCUAAGCUAGUCACUUUGAAACUUUCAGUUUUUUUCUGAUGUAACUUGAAAGAGUUCAGAAGCUCUCUUUAUGGCAGCUGCCAAAUCUUUAAGGAACAGUUUUCCCAGAAAUUCCAGCAUCUUUGCUAGCCAAGUUUCUUGUUGGCCAACUUUCUGGAGAGCCGAACCUGACUAAACACCUUGGAGCAAUUCUCUUCUUCAAGCCAAAAGAAAUAAUCUGCUGCCUUUUCACUGAAACUGAAGGAUCAAUUCCCAUAUUUUGCACCAAAAGAUCCAUAACUGCUUUGAUCUUCAUUUCUGAUUUCAAGUGGGCAAGUCAUUAAAGCUGCCAGCCCCCCUUCUUCAGACCAACCGUAUCUCUUGUAGAACUCCCUCUUGAGCUUCCAUGUUUGUUCCUGGUGAUGCCAUCAAAUAAACUUCCGCAAUAAAUGAUCUCUUUUGAGAAUUAAAACCUAUUCUCUUAACUCUCUCCACAAUUUCUUUGAAUCUCUUGGGACAUAAUAUUCAACCACACCACCCUAUCAUUAAAUCCCAAUAUUUCAAGUCAGAGUAAUGUUCAAAUUUAUCCUAAAAGCUCAGGGCAUUGCUCAAUUGCAAAUAGAAUAUUCAUCGGAAUGAACCAAAUUCUUAGGGAUGUUAUAAGCUGGUAGGAUACUCUGUUACGAACUUCUAUCCGGUAGUGUCAGCCAUCUACAUGCCAACAUGAAAACGUCAAAGCUUGAGAAUCCCAUGUAUGCAAACUUAGGCAAAACUACUUGCAGGGACGGUUAAGAUAAUUUUUGGGUAUAUCCUUAUGAGGGUUGAGAUCUCAGCAUCAUUCUCAUGAUUCUUUAAAAAUGCAAGUACUGUGUCUGCAUUUUUGGGAAUCCAAAUUUAAGAUGCUUUGAGGCAAAAAGGGGCUCUUGUAUAGCUAGCACAAAUAAGUAGAUAGUUCAGGUAUUAUUUUUACUCUUGUUUGCUUCUCCAAGUUAGUCUUCAUUGUUGAAUCAAUACUUCAUAAAGAGACUUAAGAAUCCUAAAAGUAUCUCAUACCACCAUGCACCAUAUUAGUCGUAAAUUAUAGCAAACAGAUCCAAAAACUGAAAGCAAACGACUACUGCCGUCCUACUUUAUCAACCAUAGGUUCAGUAUGUGUACUAUUAAGUGUUUUCGCAUUAGAAACAGGAAGAACUUCACCAAUUAUGGUCACAAAGGACGGCAGAACAAGAAGAGAUGUACUCUAAAAAGGAUCUCAUUAUGGCGUUUUUCAAAGGAAAAAUUUGUGCAUUAAUUUUGGGCUUUGGGUUCCAUCGGCAUUUAACUGAUUUCUGCUGUUCUUGUAUUUCAUUAUGCAGGAUUUCUCCGUUCUUUUUUUCUUGUAUAUGCAUCACAAGCAAAUGACAAGUACUUUGAUAUGCUCUGGAAACAAAACAGUAGUAUCUUUCUCACGGUUCCAGAAAUAAGUGAUGCUUGGAGCGACCAAAAUAUUAGGGCACUGAUCGUGUUAACUGAUAAGUGAUUAAUUUGAGCUAUUUUAGAAUGAUAUUUUAUGUUAUUUUUAGUCACUUUUAUAAUAUUAUAGGAAGAAAACGGAUCAUUUUGACUAUAAUUGAUGUAAAAGGAUUUUAAGUGAUUAAAUAAGGUUUUUAUCACUUUUACUUGCAUUUUGUCCAUAAUUUGUAUAGAAGUUGGAAGGGUUAAUUCCAUUUUGUCCUCUCAAACUAUACACGAAAUCCCACUUCAGUCCCUGAACUUCAAAAUGGGACACUUAAGUCCCUAAACUACAAAUUAUGUUCCAGUUAAGUAAAAUUAGUGACGGAAUCAAAAAACUUAACGGUGUAUUAGGAAUGUGGAGAACAUGCUCCAAUAGCAUGAUUGUGUAAGUGUUACAAACCAAAAAAAAAAAAUAGGGACAUGAAAGUGAUUAAAUAGUGGAUCAGAAAGUAGAUCGAAUUUCAUUGAUGGGUAACAUAAAUCUAGGAGAAGGAUUCUUUUGGAUUCCCUGUGUUUGAUGUGAAAUUAUUUUGGAUUCAGUCUACCAAAAUUAUUCGUUCAUGUUCACACACAGGCUUUAUGAGAUCUUCCACUGUGACUUGGCUGGCUGAUAUAUAUUGUAGUUUUGUUCAUUCAGUAGACAUGAAGGAACACCAAGAAUUUGUAUUGCCAAUCCAAAUAACAACCGAAGCUUCAAAUUCAAGAGUCGCCCUUUAAUUGAUAUUUAGGCAAAGGCAAGUAGGUUUUGUACUAUCUGUUUUGACUGCUUUUUAUCCAAAAUAAAGUAUCCAAAAUACUUAGGGUCGCCUUCAAACUCAAGGGUUAAUGUGUUUUGAUUGUUUUUUAUAUCCAAAAUAAUUUGAACUUGCAUGCAUCAAAGACAAAGCAACGCAAAAGUAGAACAUUUAAGUAUCUUGAUUUCGUGACGAGUUCCAUAUGAAUCUAAUACAGUAAUCGCUGUAUUUUCCUUAUCAUGAUGAGUAUCCAAAGACAUUAUCCAGCAUUUUCUCUUAUUUUGACAAAAUUUUGGUUGUACAAUGACUGCAAAAGCAAGCUGUAUCCUUGGACGGUGGACUGACUCGGAUAUGGCCAGAAAAAGGACGACUUGACAGGGACAGCACGGACAAUUGAUUUUUGCCUCAAUGCUAAAUUGCUUAUUCCCAAGACAGUAAUGUAGACGGAUCCCAGAGAAAUCUGGGGUUUUAUUAGUUAAUUCAUGGCACUAAAACAGUUACAGGAGUAGUGAAUGCCGACGGAUUGGUGCUUUGGAGGCUUAAAUGCCUGACAUGAUCAUAGAAAUCUUCAUAAAUUCUAAACUACAAGUAAUCAUGCAUGGUUUCAGACUUUACAGAAACAGUAGAGGGAAGCGUUCUUCACUACGAAAGGCAUCGUUCCAUGAUUCAGACGUUUAGAAAUGAUGGAUAACAGUUGAUCCAUAUUUUCUUUCAAGUCAAAAAGGGAAUGGCAUCUUAUCAAGUUUAUGCCAUGCAGAUCGAAAAUCACCAAGGAGACUCGAGAUAAGCAUUAAACAUGAAAGCUUAAGAUUCGACAGCAAAGAUAAGGAUCCUGCACUUCGGCAGAUUUUCUUUUCUUUCUUUUUUUUUUUUUUAAGCACACUUUGGCAGAAUCAAAGUGCAGCAAUUUGGCAGAAUUAGAUUCUCACUAGUGAGGAACCUCAAGACAUGACAAUUUUGGCAGACUCAAAUUCUGCCAAAGCGCGGCAAUUUGGCAGAAUUAGAUUCUCACUAGUGAGGAGCCUCAAGACAUGACAAGUUUAGCAACUGAUAUUACAAACUGAGAUUACCAAUUGGCAUUGCUUCCAUCAUCCGAGUAAAAAGGGCAAGAGAAUGACACCUUUGCUAGCUAACUGAUAUUAAGUCAAAGCCAUGAAAAGUCUUUUGGAUGAAUUCAUAUACUUGCUAGCUAGAUAAUGUUCUACUAAAAUGUUUUACAUUCCAAAUCUCAAACUUAAUUUUGUUAUUAUUAGGGCCAAUAGUUCAUAACUUUACCUUAAUUUGUUGGUAAAGAAAGUUUAACUAGUAGAACGGCCAUAUUCAUAUCACUGGCCAUCACUUCACCGUGACUGGCCAUCACGGCUGAGGUGGAAGCUGUAGUGAAGGCCGUUGGGGACGACACAAUAUGGAAUGCAAUGCGGGGAUUCAAAGGCAUGAAUACGUGCAAUAAGAAUAUAGUCACCACUAUUGGUGCUGGACAGGUAAAUAAUGAUUGCAUGCCCAGCUAGACCUCGUGUACUUGGACACCAAAAACUCUUUCAAAUAUUAUUUCACUUGCAUCAUAAACAUAUUUUUUAAUUAAUUUUUAAUUAUCUUUUUAUCUCUCGUCCAUUCAAUCACAAAAGAUGCUAUAAUAAUUAUUUCAAAUUUUAUUUUGCGUGUUUUUCAGGUGGUUUUGACAGGUUUUGGAAAUCAUAUUGCUAAACUGCACCAAAUAAUUGCCGCUCAAUUCAUUCAUAGAUUUUAUUUCUCCACGACUAUUUUUAUAAUGCUUAAAAUUAAAAUUGCACAUGUGUAAUACAAAAGGAAACUAGAUGCUGAGCUUAAGUUGGGAUUUUGCACAAGAAAUCUUUAUCAAAGUGUUGUUAGGUUGCUACUGUAUAGUUUUGAUUUGUGCUGACCAGAACGUGUUUUGCAUUAUGUUAGAAUGCUUGUGUGCAUUCUUUGCUUAUCAAUUAAAGGUGCCAUUUACGUGGAAAAAAAAAAAAAAAUCACACAUGUCGAUCGGUUUUUUACAGAUUGUUUGGGAGCAGACAAUUUGUUUCCCAAUUUUGAUUCUGGAAAUUCAUAAUUUUCAUACGUUUGAGUACCAAAAAAAGUACAGGUAAACUUUGUAACUGGUUUUAGCGAACUAAAAAAAUUUGGUAAACGGCAUAUAGAUAGUUCACAUAAGAUACAGUGUGAAAUUAUUUGUUUGAAUACAAAAGAGAAUGAAAACAAAAAAAAAAAAGUAAAAUGAAUUUUCAGGCCAUACUAACUAGCUAGGACAUUCAAAUUAACUUAUAAACAGCUUGUAUAUAAACAUUGAGAAAGUAUAAGGAGUUGCAAAUGAAAGUAAUCUCUACAUCGAUGAGGUCUUUGUCUAGUAAUUGAAAUUGAAACUCCAAGAUUUAGAAGUCCCGAGUUCUCAUCUCCUCUCCCACUUUUUUGCUUCUUAAAUCCCAUCUCUUCUUUAUUAGAAAAAAAAAUUUUAAAAAGAAAGUAAUCUCUACAUUCUUGAAUUGUCUCAAGCAAUAUCUUAUAUUUUUAGUUGUCUACUACUUAGGCAGGUGGUCUCUUGAAUUGUUUGAUUUGAUUAAGCCUCUUCCAAGUAUAUAUUGUAGUUGCUUUAUUAAUUGGUUGGAUUUGGUAUUCUUGUUGUUUGUUUGAAAGGACAUUCUAAUUGAUUUUGGGAACUCAAUUGUUUGGGGUUCUCUUACUGACGACCAAAAAAAAAAAAAAAAAGUCUGGGGUUUACAGAAGGACAUGAUGGUAGGUAGUCUAAAUAGAGGCCUUUUCUCUAUAUUUCCUGUACCAAGAACAGUGAAGCCGACUGACCAUCAGGCGAACUAAAAAAGAUUCAUAUACCGAAGUACUGGCUAUAAUUCAUCCCAAUGAAAUCCAUUUUAACAAGCUUGUAUCUAGACGUUAUAUGAAGUUUAUUUCUUGUUGAUUGCUUUAAUCAGAAAACGUGAAUUUGGGGAGACAUAACUUCGGAGGCUUAAACUUGAAAUUUUCCUUUUGUUUUGAUGGAUAAGAAAAGCAACUUAAAAUGAAGAAGUUUAUUUAUUAGUUUGCUGCUAUUUUUUCUCAGUAACUCCAGUGCACAAACGCAUAUAUAAACUGAAGUGAGAGCAAUUAAAUUUGUUUUCAAUGUUGUCGAAAUCUUUUCAGAAUAUGCAUUGGCCCGUGAGAUUUCGACUGCCAUGCUUAAUUAAGGGAUUGUAUCUUAACAAGGAAAGACACCAAGGGAUGUUAAUUGUUAGUGGUGCUAAAAGCACACAUGAUAUAUGUGCAACUUAAAAAUGCAUGAAUGUUUUCUGCAAAUUAUUUUAUAUAAAUUUUCAUUACUAAAGCUAACUUUGCUAUUUUGAUCUUCUUUCCAUAAAAUGAUUGUAAUUUUGAUAGUUACAAUGUUUGGAGACAGUAAUUUUGUUAACAUUGUUUAGAUAGUUAAGGCUAACAAAUAAUUAUGAGUGGUUAUCUUCUUCUUCUUCUUCUUCUUUUUUUAAAUGAGUGGUUAUGAGUUGUUAUCUUGACAACAUUUGUUUAGGUAAUAAGCAAUAAGUAAGUUUUGUAAGGGUGAAGUUUAUUGCCAUUGAAAUAGUUAACUUUAGGGUGAGUCUGAUAAAACUAAACUCUAAAAACUGAAAUCUGAAAUUUGAAAUAUAAAUUCGUUAAAUUAUUGAAUUGUUAAAUCCUAUAUCUGAUACAUUUUGAUUAUAUAUCAUAUUAAAUUACAAGUGAAUACCUUAUCACUUAUUUUUUGAAGCAAGUUUUGCUUGCGGAAUUCAGUGCUACUUAAUUAAUUUAAAUGUUCAAUUUUUCGUUAUCAAACGCGUCUAAACAUAUGAAGAUCUGAAUUCAUUAAGUUGAAGUGUUGAAUUGCGUUAUCAAACAAGACCGAAGCUUGUGCUUAUCUUAAUUAGCAUUGUUUUAAUUUACUUUCACAAUAUCGUACAAACAUUCAUUCAUCCUACUGGUAUUAUUUUAAUUUUCUUUCAUUCAUCUUAGAUAGGACUAACCAACUAAUACGAAACUUUUGUCAUCUCGACUUUCCCUAUUUUUUCAGAAUUUCUUGACCCUAUAAUACCAUUUCUGCAUUGCAUCUUACACCAAGUACCUGCGUUUGUUGCUCCUUAACCAACCAGCAUUUUUUUUUUCUUUUUGGGGUUAAAGUAGGGGAUGGACGAGAUUUAAGAAGCGGGAUGAGGGAAAGGGAGAUUUGAACCCAAAAACGCUAACCAUUGGAACCUCAACUUUAGUUAGCAGACCAAUUCCUGCUCAAAUAUUUACCUUAACUAAGCUACUUACCAGAUAUUAGAGCUCAAAUUAGCUAUUCAGAUACCAGACCGAGCUAACGGUGACAUUGCAGCUGUGCAAGUAUGGUCCAAUCAUUUUUGAUCCAUCAGCCACCAAAAUCAUUAUGUAGCCCCUGAAACAGUAACUGGACAAGCAGAAUCUGCAGUUACUACAUGCAUGAAAGCAGAUGGUUGAUAUUUCUUUAGCACUGAUAUGCGCAACUGAUUCAUACUUCAACACCUUCCAACAUAACUCAAAAGCAUAGUUAUAUUUACAAGGCUAGGCCUCACCAGUGAGGUGUAGCUUCACCUAGCUACAUCUAUAGAGAGAAUGUAUUUUAGUCAAACACUUGUAAGCACAAACUAUAGAUUCUAUUUAAAAGCACUAUAUGACAAUUGUAAGAGUAGAAACAAAUUAAACAUUCUCUUAUUAUGUUUCUAUGGCCAAACCAUCAUGCAGCCAAUUUCUCAUAAUGACAAAUGCCUUCUCUGCAUCUUCAUCUUCUUCAGGAGACUCAGGCCUGUGGACAAAACCAUGGCCUCUUCCCUGAAAGACUGCUAUUUUUUGGUGCUCGAUUUCUUUCCCAAUAUCUUUUAAAUUGUUCACUGGACAUAGUGGGUCAUUGUCACCUGCAAUAAACAGCACUGGUACCCUUAUAUUAGCUGCAGCUGAGGUACUAAUUCCUGUUCCAUAGAAUGACACCCCAACGCCAAAGCAGCCACCCUGGUCAUGUGCAAGAAUAUCUAUCACUUGGCCACCUCCAAAACAGAAUCCAAUGAUGCCCAGUUUCUUUGUGAUUCCUGCAGCAGCAAAUUCAUUGACCAUCCAAUCUGCUGAGAUAAAAAUGUCUUUUGCAAUAUGUUCCGGAUUUUGUCUAGCACGCCAUUCUUCAAAGAGAGCUUUAGGUCUCUCUUUGGUCCAUGGAUCCCCGCGAAAAAGGUCUGGUACCAGAACACUGCAAAAUGUUCACAAAGCAGCAGCAAAAAAUCUUAUCAGCAAAGGAAUCUAAAUGCACUCAGAACAGAACUCACCAUGUCAAGCAAACAUUUCUACAGAGAUGUGUACAAGUACAUUUUUGGCAAUAAAAAGCAAGAAGGCAUGAUUACCAAGUAGUAUUGUUGAUUACUUGUGUAUUUGUUUUUUCUUAUUUUGAUUUUCUUUUUCUUUUUUCGGGUAAGUAAAAAAUCGUUAAUAGCCCUGGAGGUAGCAACAUAUAAGGCAGGUUCCAAGUUAAUAACUCAAAGAAAAACACAAAGGAACACAUUAGCCUAAUUCCACCAAUAACCUAUAACAGAGUAUACAUAUAAACAACCAGUAUGUGACUAAUACUGCAGAGAAUUCCAUGUCUUGCUUUCAGGUGUUCAUGAUUUCAUGAUUACCAGACUUUCUGAAGUGUGAAUCAUCUACCUAUAUCAACUGUUUGAUACAAUUAUUCUUUUCCAAAACAUUUUUUUUGAGCAACCUGUCAGCUCUUGCAUCUUUAUAUGUUGAGGUUCACUAGAGAGGAGUAUAUUACAGAGAGUGGAAACUGGCAUGGCCACCCGAACACUAGAUUAAGGGGUCUUACUCAGUAUGACUUGUGUCCUUGGGAAGUUUGCGUAUGGCGUAUGAAACUGUCAUACACGUAUUGAAGGUCUGUCACUCAUUGAGUUAGACUGAGGAAAUGCUUACAAGUGAGAUCUUGUUUUGGGUGAAGUUAAAUUGAAGUAGUGUUACUGCAACUUACAGAAGGGAGUACCAUGUCAACUACUACUCCAUGACAAAAUCUAGUUUCAGUCAAGUCACUAAUUAGCAGCAAUGCAUAAGCUCGAAGGGGUAAAUAACUCAGAAAAGCACAAUAUAAUAUUUCAACGUAUGCAACGGGUACCAUAAUCAACUGGUACAAUUGGCCUAUAGAUGUAAAGGAUCUGGAGCCGUCCAUGAAUACUUCCAAGUUCACGCAUCAAGUAAACCAAUAAUCCAAUUCGAAGCACAACCAAUAAACCAUUGUCAUUUAAACUUAUUAUACAUCACUAAAGUAAGAGAACAACAUACCUUUAUAUGGAUAUUUUA
rnacentral:lncRNA from 1 species